rnacentral:rRNA from 1 species
AGGACAAACGCUGGCGGCGUGCCUAACACAUGCAAGUCGAACGGUUCACCUUCGGGUGAAUAGUGGCGGACGGGUGAGUAACACGUAGUUAACCUACCGUUUAGUGGGGAAUAACCCCUCGAAAGAGGAGCUAAUACCGCAUGAGUUCUUUAUCGUCAGAUAGAGAAGAAACCUCGGUUCAUACCUGGGGCUAAAUGAUGGACUGCGGCGGAUUAGCUAGAGUGGUAGGGGUAAAGGCCUACCAUGGCGACGAUCCGUAGCUGGUCUGAGAGACGACCAGCCACACGUGGACUGAGACA